rnacentral:rRNA from 1 species
GGGGAAUCUUCCGCAAUGGGCGAAAGCCUGACGGAGCAAUCCCGCGUGAAGGACGACACCUUUCGGGGCGUAAACUUCUUUUCUGAAGGAAGAAAUUCUGACGGUACUUCAGGAAUAAGCGACGGCUAACUACGUGCCAGCAGCCGCGGUAAUACGUAGGUCGCAAGCGUUAUCCGGAAUUAUUGGGCGUAAAGCGUUCGAGGGCGGUUAUAAAGGUCUGAUAUUAAAUACCUGCGGCUCAACCGAGGUUUUGUAUCGGAAACCAUGUAACUAGAGGAAGACAGAGGCAACUAGAAUUCCCAUUGUAGGGGUAAAAUCCGUAGAUAAUGGGAGGAAUACCGAAAGCGAAGGCAGGUUGCUGGGUCUUUCCUGACGCUGUGCGAACGAAAGCGUGGGGAGCAAAAGGGAUUAGAUACCCCUGUAGUC